GCACUUCAAAUCAAAAUGAACAAUAUCUUUCAAAUGUAGAUAUUCCAUGCCAAAAGCUGCAUCCAGUGCAAUUAUAAGCUUUUUACGAUGACCAAGUGCUCUGCAGGAUGAAGACUCCAUUAUAAGUCUACAUCGCAAUGAGAGUACGAAGAAAUAAAAGACAUGGACCAACUCACUUGUCCUUUUUUUGCAAGACAUGCCUCAAUGAUCCAUUAACCAUAUACUCGGUUACAGUUGCCAUUGUUCCUCCAGGCCCAUCAGGGACUACACCAUAAAAUGCUACAACAUUUGGAUGGUGAAGAUUCGAUAGGAUCCGCGCCUCUCUCCAGAAAUCUUUAGUCAGCCGCUCUUGCUCUGAUGAUCUGCCAGCAAAACAACUCUUUUUGAUCCUCUUAAUAGCAACAUCAGUACCCCUCCACUUCCCAUAAAAAACAGUUCCAAAUGUACCAGAUCCUAACUCUUGCAAUUCUUCUAUGUCAGCAUUCCUUAUAAUCUGCAAACCAUAGAUGCCUGCUUCUAUUUCAGCCAUUGCAGCAUCACCAAUAGAUUCAUCAUUAUCUCUGCCAUCAGCCUCAGAUACAGAUCCUUGUGCUGUGCUUUCUGUCUCAGCAUCUCUAUGAGAUGGGAAUUCAUCAGUGGCCUCUUCUUCUAUCUGUGGGAAAACUCUUGAAGAAAAGGGGAUAUCUGGAGGUGUUGUGCCAGUAACAUCUUCAACAAUUACAACUGAUUCCAACACCUUAUUCUCGUGAUGAUCAUCUAAGCGCUGUGGAGCAUCUCUAAUCUUUGGUCCCUCAUAUGGUUUUCUGCUGAUGCUUAUGAUUUCAACCUUGUGGUCAGGAUAAUUCAAAGGAUCUUCAUCAUAGAAAGAAAACAAUUUACUUGAAGCAGCAGUCUUGGAUACGUUUGGAAAUGCAGAACUCUGGACUUCAGGUUUUUGGUUGCUUGAUCUUAGAUAUGGAGGAUGGUGAUAUCCAUGAUGUGCACCAGGAGUCUGUUGAUCACUUUUUCUCUCUGCUAUAGUACACUGCUGAUCGUUGAUCACAUUUUGGUUCUUGAAAAGGAAGUCAGGUGCAGGUUUAGUCUUGCCUGAUUGGCAACCCUGGGGAUGCUCCCUCAUAUUAUCUACAGAAUAUUCCAAAGCAUUAACUCGAGUGAUACAAACCAUUCUUCCAGAUUCUUUUGAAUCUUGUUGGUGGCGAUGAAUGCUUAGAAAGUUGUCUGAGCUUUGUAAGUCCUUACACUCAAUGGAAUUAUCAUUCGAAAUGUUUCCUGCACAUUGUCUGCUUUCACUAGAGCAAGUUACCAUCCUGUCCGCCCUCUUUAACAACACUUGGUUCAAGUCAGUAUUCUUCAUUGUGUUAAAGCUGCACUGAUUCUCAUGUUCAGCUGCUUGGUGUUUCUCACUCGUUAAACCUUCCCACAUCAUUGGCUCUUGUGAGGAAUUUGACAUUGCCAGAGAAGGUGAUUUUUCCCUUCCAUCAUUCCACAUGCACAGAGAGUUAACUGCCUCUUCACAGUAGUAUUUUGACCCUUCAUCAUGUUCUUGCAAUCGUGAGUCGGAAAAAGCCCUUUCCUUAAGCUUGGGUCUCUCUGAAUUCAUAUCACUUUGAACAUGUAGUUGAUGUGACAGAAAAUCUCCACUUGGGCUGCGAUUGUGAAAAUGCACUUCCGAUGGUUUGUUACUCUGGUCAGUUUCUGUCAAGUAUUGGUGAUAUUGCUGGUAAUUCAUUAAUGUUAAUUGCCCUUGGGAAAUUUUAUUAUAAUACAUAGAAGCACGGGGAUGAUAGGCUUUGUCAUAUGGAAUUUUGUUCAAGGCAAAAGUAUUAAUGCUCUCAUUACCCUCCGUACAAGAUUGAUCAACAUAAAAUUGUACAUUAGAAUUCUUGUGAUCUUUGCGCUGAAUUGGAAUGGGAGAUAUAGGAGGAGAUUGAUUGAAAGAUGUGCCUGGAAUCUGGAGUGUAGUGGCAAACUGAACAACAGGAUUUGGAAAUGUUCCCACCACAUUGGAGGAAUUUGGACUACAAUCCUUAUUAUCUAAUGCAAAAAUGGAAGUAGGAGAGUCUUGAUGAAAAGUAGGACCAUGAUCUGAAGCAUUUCGCAAGUGGAUUGGUUGGCUUGCCAAACCUUGUCCACUGGAGCUCUCUUGCUCCGGCAUGCCAUUGACAGCAAAAACAUAUUGGUAGUCACAAUCACUCUGCUUUGGAGUCCUUCCCUCAAAUGAAUUUGGGCUAUCAGAUUCACUAGAAGAAAUAAGAAAUAUCCGCAGUCUUUGUGAGCCCCCAUUCCUUUCUAUCUCUUGAUAUUCUUCUAUCAUAUGAUGUAGAUCUUCAUUAGAACAAACAGAAAUAAGGGCAUCGAGAUCCUCACCAGGGAGCUGGUACUUAAUCGUGUGAGAUUGAUUGCAAAUCGCGAAAGUUUUCUUUGCAAGUUCAUCCCACGUUACAUUUUUCCGGAUGGAUAUAAUUCGCGUCUCUCCUCCCACAUACCGAAGCUUUCCAUCACUUGGCCUUGGUAAUAUCCUGCCCCCAAAGCUGCAUAAAAAUUUCAUUUUUCCAGAGAAAGCAAUUUCCAAAACUGCUGUUCCACAAGGACGAUAUGACAGAGGGGACUCCACCACGUAUUUAUGGGGAGUUGUUGAGCCCAUAUUAACUUGUCCAGAAUUCAGUUCACCAGUAUAUUUACAAGGGUUUUGUCCACUGGAAUUAUAUUCCCAUUGACAUCUGCUUAUAUGAUCAGGAUAUACCCUGCUCUCUACUUCAACAGCAUAUCCUGUCCUGGGAACAAAAUCCAAGGCAUUAUAUUCGGAGCCUUUUCUAUGACUCUCAUGAAUGCUGGAAAGAUCCUCAUAAAACACCUGAUGUUUCUGGUUAUAAUUAGACACUACUUGUGUUAGCUGGUUUUGAUCUGCCACCCUUCUUAGAGCAAUACGAUCACGUAAAAACUCGGUAGAAAAUUCCUCACCUGUCUGUGCACAAAUAUUAUUUACAUUUCUAUCCUCAGCAGCUCCAUUACCAGAGAAAACCUUGGUCAUAUCUCCAUAGAAAUGCUGGCCUGAGUUAUCAGGAGUCUCCCUUGUCAUGGUAUCAAAGAAAUCUCAACUAAUGUAAGCAUAUGAACAUUCACCAAAUUGCCAACCCUUUUUUGCUUAAAACUUUUCAAAAUCCUUACAUCACUUGUGCAAAUGCUUCUCCAAUUGGACCAUAUAAUACUCCUAUGCACUAAAUCAACCCCAAAAUUGGUCUUCUUCCUGCAACUCCAUAGCAUUCAAUGCUUAUUUUCAUGAUGACAACUAGAUUGCCAUUAAUAAUGAAAAAAUGUUCUGUACUAUACAAUUGUGUUAUUGCUUCAUUUACCCAAAUUUCUCUAUCUUCACUGCAAAAAGCAAUCAGCAAAAUCCGUGCGAAAUUAUACGCACAAAAUCGCAACCACGCAGAGGAGACGCAAUUCAUGACCGUCCGUGAUCCCACAUUGAUCUAAUCUGCCUUUCACAAUCUUUCAUUAAACGGUAUAUCGCUGGCUUCUCGUAUGGAAACUUAAAAAUAAAGAAAAAAAAUGGUCCAACUGUUUGUUUGUUGAGAAUUGCAGUUUCACGUAGAGAUUUUAGCUACGAAAUGUUGUUUAGAAUUGAUGGACGAAACCCAGAAAAGAGAAAAAUGGAGUCUGAAUUUCAGUUUUGUAUAAGAGUCGUGGGUUUUUGAUGGAGAGAGAGAGAGAGGCCGUUGCAUGAGGUUAGGGCGUGAGGGAGAGAGAAAGCUUAAA
rnacentral:misc_RNA from 1 species